rnacentral:rRNA from 1 species
CCGAACUACGUGCGUGCAGCCUCGGUAGUACGGAGGGGGCGUGCGUUGUCCGGAAUUAUUGGGCGUAAAGGGCUCGUAGGCGGUUUGUCACGUCGGGCGUGAAAACGCGGGGCUCAACCCCGAGCCUGCGUCCGAUACGGGCAGACUAGAGGUAUGCAGGGGAGAACGGAAUUCCUGGUGUAGCGGUGAAAUGCGCAGAUAUCAGGAGGAACACCGGUGGCGAAGGCGGUUCUCUGGGCAUUACCUGACGCUGAGGAGCGAAAGUGUGGGGAGCGAACAGGAUUAGAUACCCUAGUAGUC